rnacentral:rRNA from 1 species
CCCUUAGAUGUUCUGGGCUGCACGCGCGCUACACUGAAGCUAUCAACACGUUUUCCCUCCCUGAGAAGGGCGGGUAACCUUUUGAAUCAGCUUCGUGGUAGGGAUCGGGGCUUGCAAUUGUUCCCCGUGAACCAGGAAUUCCUAGUAGACGCGAGUCAUAAGCUCGCAUCGAUUAAGUCCCUGCCCUUUGUACACACCGCCCGUUGCUACUACCGAUUGAACGUUUUAGUGAGGCAUUUGGACCGACGCAUCUCAGUUUAACCGCUGGUUUGUGUUGGAAAGACUUCCAAACUUGAGCGUUUAGAGGAAGUAAAAGUCGUAACA